UAAGCGGAGGAAAAGAAACUAACAAGGAUUCCUCUAGUAACGGCGAGUGAAGCGGGAAGAGCUCAAAUUUGAAAUCUGGUAGCCUUCGGCUGCCCGAGUUGUAAUCUAGAGAAGUGUUUUCCGUGCCGGCCCAUGUACAAGUCCCUUGGAACAGGGCGUCAUAGAGGGUGAGAAUCCCGUCCUUGACAUGGACCCCCGGUGCUUUGUGAUACACUUUCAACGAGUCGAGUUGUUUGGGAAUGCAGCUCAAAAUGGGUGGUGAAUUCCAUCUAAAGCUAAAUAUUGGCGAGAGACCGAUAGCGAACAAGUACCGUGAGGGAAAGAUGAAAAGCACUUUGGAAAGAGAGUUAAACAGUACGUGAAAUUGUUGAAAGGGAAACGAUUGAAGUCAGUCAUGCUCUUUGGAUUCAGCCGUUCUGCGGUGUAUUUCCAUUGAGUGGGGUCAACAUCAGUUUUGAUCGCUGGAUAAAGGCACUAGGAAGGUAGCACUCUCGGGUGAACUUAUAGCCUAGCGUCAUAUACAGUGAUUGGGACUGAGGAACGCAGCAUGCCUUUAUGGCCGGGAUUCGUCCACGUACAUGCUUAGGAUGUUGACAUAAUGGCUUUAAACGACCC
rnacentral:rRNA from 1 species